GAUCCUGGCUCAGGAUGAACGCUAGCUACAGGCUUAACACAUGCAAGUCGAGGGGAAACGACAUCGAAAGCUUGCUUUUGAUGGGCGUCGACCGGCGCACGGGUGAGUAACGCGUAUCCAACCUGCCCAUCACUUGGGAAUAACCCUGCGAAAGGUAAGACUAAUGCCCAAUGAUAUCCCACGAAGGCAUCCGAAUGGGAUUAAAGAUUUAUCGGUGAUGGAUGGGGAAUGCGUCUGAUUAG
rnacentral:rRNA from 1 species